rnacentral:lncRNA from 1 species
CAGCUAUUGGUUAUUUAAAUUUCAUUUGUAUCACAUAAAUUAAGAUUAAAAAUAUAUAUAUAUAUUGAGCUCGUGCUAGCACGAAUCGUGGAUAUCUAGUUCAUAAAAUAAAAGGCAAUAGAUCAAUUAAAGAAAUAGAUAUUGAAUUAAUUAUAAGCAAAAUUGUUCUUUAGCUGUAUUUUAUUGAUUGAGUUUCACUAAAGUGAUUUAAUUAAAACUAUCGCCCACAACUGGCCCCUGUUGUGUACAACUCAAACCAACUCAGUCAAAUUGAACUAAGUGAAUUCAAGUGGUAAACGUGUUUAUUUAUUUGGUUUUUUAAUUUAAAGCACGUGCUUUGUAUUAUUUAUCAUUAUAUGUCAUUUCACCCAUUGGAAAAUAUCUGGCAAGCAAAAACAAAUAAUCUGACAUUAUAUUACAGACAAGAAAUACUCCAUCAGCUUGUGAAAAAAAGAACGACUGGUAUUUAUAUAUAUAUAUUUUUUUAAUUACAAUUUUUUGUAACCGUAGAAAUUUGACGGUGCUUGUGAUUAGAUAAAAUUUAUAAGUUUCAUAUUUUUUUUUGAAAAAUCAGUGGUUAGUCAAAUUAUGCUUCAUAAAAUCAAACUAAGGUAAUACUAUAAUAAGAAAAAGUUUUUUAUAUCUACAUAUUCUGCAUGCCAGCUUUUCUCUAUAUUGACAGAGUCAUUUUAAAAUCUACAUGUUCAGCAAAAAAAAAAAAAAAAAAAAGUUUUUAUAUUGACGCAACUUUUUAAUUGCAACAAAUAGUACAUCCUCCAUUUAAUUUUGUUUGUCAUUCUUUGAAUUGAGAUAAUUUAAUAAAUAUUUGAAAUUACAUUGAUGCAGUAACAAAAUUCUUAACAUGUUGUAGUAUUUAUAUAAUUAUAUAAAAAGAUGAUAACAUAAUCAGUAUAAUUUUAUUAAGCGGUGUUUGGAGACGAUAUAAUAUAAGCACACCGUACCUCUACCUCAAAAGUAGAUAAACCGAUUUCGAUAACUCCUCGGCUCAAGAAAGAUCGUCCAAAAAAGUUAAAAGAAUUAAAAGACGCGUAGAAAAUAGCAGACAAUACCGAAACAUCAUACAGUGUAGAGCAGUAAUUACAACACAAUACUAUGAUAGUCAAAGUAUAAGUAACAAAUAAUAAUAGAAGUCACAAGACAAGAAACUACCAAAGUAAUACUACGACUAAUUGUAUGGAAGACAACAAGACAAAAUACCAAACGCUACUAACUCGACAAUAACGAAACAUCAUACAGUAACAGCACAAUAACUACAACACAAUAUUAUGAUUGUCGAAGUAUAAACAACAACAAAUAAUAAUAACAGAAAUCACAGUACAAGAAACUAACAAAGCAAUACUGUAACUAACAAUAUGUUAGACAACAAGAUAGAAUAUUGAUCCCUACUAACUCUCAACCCUAAUGCACGUAACAACAAUAAAUAAUAACAGAAAUCGCAAGACAAAAAACAAACAAAGCAAUACUGCAACUGACAAUAUGAUAGACAACAAGAUAAAACACUUAUCUCUACUGACCCUCAACCCUAAUGCGUGUCCUCCUCAACUUUUAGUAAUUUUUUCAUGAACGGACUAGCAAAGGAAUAAUCUCAAGCACAAUUGAACGGUGGAGUAAAAUGUUGCCUACAUCAUUGUAGUUUAAAAUCAGAAAUAUAACCUUAUCAACAAUUAAUUUUAGUAAUGAAG